UGAGGAAUAUUGCACAAUGGGCGCGAGCCUGAUGCAGCAACGCCGCGUGAGGGACGAAGGCCUUCGGGUUGUAAACCUCUUUUCUGAGGGACGAGGAAGGACGGUACCUCAGGAAUAAGUCUCGGCUAACUACGUGCCAGCAGCCGCGGUAAAACGUAGGAGGCGAGCGUUAUCCGGAUUUACUGGGCGUAAAGCGCGCGCUGGUGGCUUCGUGAGUCGGACAUGAAAGCUCCUGGCUUAACUGGGAGAGGCUGUUCGAUACUGCGAGGCUUGAGGUUGGGAGAGGGACGCGGAAUUCCCGGUGUAGUGGUGGAAUGCGUAGAUAUCGGGAGGAACACCAGUGGCGCAAGCGGCGUCCUGGCCCACACCUGACGCUGAGGUGCGAAAGCGUGGGUAGCAAACAG
rnacentral:rRNA from 1 species